CUGGGGUCACCCAGGUUGCAUGGCAGUCAGGGGCCCUUACCCACUGAGCCUACUUAUUUAUAUGUUCAUUUGAAAUACUGUGCUGUGAUACCUCUCCUAUAAAUUCACAGUGCACACUUAGCACUUUGAAAGUCUGUGAAGUUGGGAAAUUGAUUUAACUUUGAUCCAGGUUUUAAAGUUUACUUUAAAAAAAGGACAUUGAAUCUUUAAAAAUAAAAAAAAAAGAAACAACAGCAAAAAUGUUUUGGGGAUGAUGUGAACCUGUAAUGCCAUCACUUGGGAAGCUGAGGCAAAGGGUAUUAAGUUCAAGGCAGCCUAAGCUGUGUAUGGUAAAAUCCUAACAUGCUUUGGCUUGGGGCUUGAGGAGAAGGGAUCCACCAACUCUAGGCAGCUGCUUGGCAGUUGGAGCAUGAGGUUUCCUGGUAGUAGCUGGACAUUCCAAAGGGCCCCAGGCUUCCCCACACUGACAAUUGCAUGAGCCUGUGGGAGAUAUUCCACAUCUAAACCAUAGUGGGAACUGUCAUACAGAGUCCUCAAGCCAGCAGGGACUAGUGGUCUUGGGCACUACUGUCAAGUAGAUGGAGUUCCUGGGAAUGGAAGACCAAACCAAGCAGCUUGGGGCUUUGGGUAGGUACUGUUGGUUUUUAUUUACUAAUCCAUGUUCUCAGAUGGUCGGUGUGCUUGGCGGUUUUUAUUCCAUAAAGCAAAACUUUGAUCCUUGAAAAGCCCUUUGAGAUAAUCUCAUCCUGCCUCUGCCAGUUGGAGGAACUCAUUGUGCAAAGGUUGAAUACGUUACUUUCCAAAGGUCAAACACUUAGGGAUUCUGGCCUGUUAAGUCUUCCAGCAUUAGGUUGGAAGGUCCCAGUGCCGGUUACUAGAGGGAGUCCCUGAGUUGUGAGACUUUGUCAGUGUUGUCUUCCAGAAUGGGGGAGGAUAAGAACAAAAGUUGAUGUUGAAUUUCUUACCAAUUUUGACUCUGAUAGAAGGAGUGUAAGAGGUGUCCUUGAAGCCUUGGGAAAAGCAGGAAUCACACAUGACUGUUGGAAGAAAUUCCUUUGCACAGCUAAAAGUGAUAAGCUUCCAUCGAAAGAGGCCACAGAAAACAUGAGGGGAUCCGAAGCAGUGAAGGACUGACAGCCAGCUAGAGAGUACCUCAGUCAUUCCCAUGUUCUAUAGGCAGUGCAUUCUCAUUGGUUGCAGGAAGUUUCUGGUUACCACAGCUACAAGUCUGAAUUUUGAGUGUUGACAUCUGAAGGUUCCAAGUUAUUUUUGCUUCAAUUUAUGUUUUUCUUCCUUCGUGGGGGCAAAAGUAACCCUUGCUUAUUAAUUGGUAUGUGAAAUUGAAUCAUUUUGUUGUGAUAGGUUGCUUUUCUGUUCAUCUCAGGCAUUUUGUCCUCAUUUUUACGAAACCCAGUCUCCUGUGAAACAGUACAUAAUGCUGUGUCACAAACAUGGAUUUAAAUGAAGUCAAGCAUACAGAAGAUGAGACUUACGUUUUUUUUAAAUUUCAUUUUUUAAAUUUUUAAUGUGCAUUGGUGGUUUUCCUGUGUGUAUGUCUGUGUGAGGGAGUUACACAUUCUAGUGUGUGUGGAUCCUGGAUAUACAGACAGUGAUGAUCUGCCAUGUGGGUGCUGGGAACUGAGCCCAGGUCCUUUAGAACAGCCAGUGUUCUCUCUCCACUAAGCCAUCUCUCCAGCCUGAGACUAAGUCUUAUUUCAACAACAAAAAAAAGAAGUCUCCCAUUGGAUCCGUAGACCCGAAGGUCAUCUCAUAAUGAGGAAUUUCCUGUCAACUGCUUUUUCAUGACUGCCUCAGGAUGGUGCAUGACGGUCCUGUAUUUUCAAGGCUCCUUCAGAGACAGAAAACUUGUUUGUUUUUGUCGAGGAAUCUUUGAUGUCAUGUGAGGAUAUUACAAAAAGUGUUGUACUUUCUGUCUACACUGGAGUCAAGAGAGUGGGCCACAGAGAACUACUUGGCUGCAUUGAGUUCCUCCCCUGGCUGAGCCUCUGCUGCUAGGAGCAUGAGCGGCUCGGCCUUGUUCUAGAAAGCCCAUGUGAUGUCCAUGUGGUGAAGUGACCAUUUUCCCCUCAGACAAACCAUACAGUGCGUAUGUUUGUGCCUUUCCUGUGUGUUACUCCAGAAAGUGAGGUAAAUGCUGUCAGUUACCACACUUUGUCCAGGUGACAGAUCUUUUCGUCUGCCUGUCCAUCCGUCCAUCCAUCCUUCCUUCCUUCGUCUUUUUCUUUUAAAGAGGGAGUUGGUUUAUUUUGUUUCAAGGGCAUAGUUCAUCAUGGUGGGAUGUCAGGACAGCAGGGAUUUGAGGCUGCUGGCCACACCACACCCACAGUCAAGAAACAGAGAACAAGAUUGAAGUUUCUUAAUGGUUUUUAGAGACCAACUGAUUUGCCCAAAUCAUGAAGUAACUGUCCAUGGCUGACCCUGUGUCUGCAGUGGUUUUUCUUCCUUCAAAAGAGAACAGGUGACCCUCCAAAGGACAAACUCCAGAACCUUCCUGCUAUUGGAAAACAUGUCCAUCUUAAAAUCUCAGUACUUACUGGGAGAGAACAUAGGAACAGACAGGAGAUGGAGGGACUGGCUGCUUGACUGUAUGUAAUUCCACCACCACCCCCUUUUCCUUGUAUCUAGUGGCACCAGAUUCAUUUGGAGUUGUUCCGUGUUGAUUGUGGUCUGUAAGUGAGGUCUCUUGGUCUGCAGUGUGCACUGUAUCUGUAGAGGGAAGUCAGAUGUUCACACUCCAUAAAAACACAGCUUAGGUAAUACAAGAUGUAUUUGUUGACUUUCAGAGCAUCCAGAUGUGGCUUAUGAGAUGGAGGUGGCUAUCAUUUAUCUGAGAGGCAUCCAUACCUCCUUGUAGAACCUGUAUCUCAGUCAAUGGGUCCCCAGACUGUUGGAUUGCAGCAGCAUCCCUCAAGACUCCUGAAUUAAAAAGUGGGCAGAUGGACGCACUUGGUCAGUGCUGUUAGGUGUGUAGUAUGCGGAGCUAACCUGCAAGCAUGAUACCUGGUAGUGUGGCCAGAAACCAAUAGGGAUCAGAAUUAGGACCAAGUUCUAAUGCAAGAAGCAACUUGGGGCUAGCGACAUAGCACUGAGGCUGUGCCGUAUGCUGAAUGCUGUCUCUCCAAGGAUUGCAGGGGGCAAGUGCAGGAAGGUGCCACCAUUUAACUUUUAAACACACAGAUGGGUUUGGUGAUGCAGAGAGCAGGAACCAGUCUCCAUUUUGGGUGCAUGAUUGACCUAGAGCUAGUAAUUAAUUAGAAGGAUGUUUUAGAGGUUCUGUCUAGAAUUUCUUCUCAUUUACUAUAGUGGGGUUUCAUGUGUGAAUUUGUGUUGUCAGCCAGGGGAAGGCUGAUAGAAACGCCAGACUGAAAAGACCUACAAAGAAAGGACCCUUCCAGAUUGCUAGUGCUGUGUCAGCUUGGGUCUUGUCAGUCAUGGUCCACAUCUGUAUUCCAAAGCACUCAAGAAGUGGAGAAAUAGGCAAGAGGACUUUGAACUCAAGGUCAGCCUGGGCUACAUUGGGAGACUGUGCACAAAUAUACUAAGUCUUUCUGGCCAGCCACCACUCUGUCCUACAUCAUGGUCCUCUUCUACUCAGUGACCUCUAUCCUGGAUUUGUGCAUUAAGUCAUUUGAGAGAAUUCUGGGGUCAGUGUUCACCACAUCACCAAGCCAGAUUUGUGUUGUCUCUGCUUCCUCCUUGCCAGAUCUUCUGUGAGUGAAUACAAUCUGCUGUGGAUUAUUUGCUAUUGAAAAACAUUUUGGUUAGACAGGUUGUAGUUAUAUAGCCCAUGCCUGCCUCAGCUUUGCAUCACCAGUGUUUCCUAAAUUCAGUUUGAUACAGAAACAGCUGGAUAGAACAGUGAAGACAAGAGCAUUGAGUUGCAGCAGGUGUUUAGUGCUUGCAAGGAUUAGUGUUGUGAACUAGCUGGUCCCUAAGGUAUUGUGAGAUGUGAUCUUCCUGCAGUGGGCCAUAACUCAGAAAUGCAUUGAUGCCCACUGGGGACUUGCCUUGUGGUGCUUGAAAUCUACAUAAUUCUUAAACUCUAAGAAAUGGCAUGGACCAAAAAUAGAGAUUGGAAGAUGCUACCUGUCGGUGAAACAUCUUGACUCAAGUGGGAGCAUGGGUAUUCUUGGU
rnacentral:lncRNA from 1 species